rnacentral:rRNA from 1 species
UACGUAGGGUGCAAGCGUUAAUCGGAAUUACUGGGCGUAAAGCGUGCGCAGGCGGUUUUGUAAGACUGUCGUGAAAUCCCCGGGCUCAACCUGGGAAUGGCGAUGGUGACUGCAAGGCUAGAGUUUGGCAGAGGAGACUGGAAUUCCUGGUGUAGCAGUGAAAUGCGUAGAUAUCAGGAGGAAUACCGAUGGCGAAGGCAGGUCUCUGGACAGUUCCUGACGCUGAGGCACGAAGGUCAGGGGAGCAAACGGG